GUAUGUCGUGAUAAUACGGUACAACUAUUUCUUACCAAUCAAACAAGAGAAAACUUCAAAUAUCUUCCUUUUGUGUAGCCUCAAAUUAAAGAAAUCUUAUCACCAACAAAUUCUCUUCUUUAUAUACAUACGGCAGGCUUUUUUUGGUAAAGAGUUUUGGAUUUUCACAACUGGAAAAAAUAAUCUUUUAAUCUGUACACAAAGUAUUGUGGCUUUUGUUCCAACUAAUUCUCUUUAGCUUUUCGCCAAUUUAAAGUGGUGUUAUUCAAUUAUAGAGUUAAAGUCAAUUCUUUAAACUUUAGAUUUGUUUUCUGAUAUUGCUUUUAAAAAUAUGUUUGUAUGAAUUUUAAAAUCUCUGCAAUAUGUCCAAGAAUUUUACAAAGAGAUUUCAUUUCAAAUGAAUUAAUAUACAAAAAUUUUACCAGUAUUUUAGUUUUGAAUAACACUGGAUUUUAAUGAAAUAUUUAAAAUCUUAAUUGAAUAACACUAAACUUUAAAAUCUAUUAAGCAUAAUUUACAAAAAUGAGUUCUAAUAACACUAAAUUUUAAAACUGGAUUUAAAAUCAUUAGUUAAAUAACAGUGGAUUAGUGUUGGAUUUCAAUUCUAUUAAAAUCCAUUAACUAAUAACACCCCCUAAAGCUACAAAUCAAUACCAAAUAUCCUUAAUAAAACACU
rnacentral:sRNA from 1 species